ACUUGUGGAGAGAAUUUCUCUCCAGCGAGAGCCAAAGGUUAUUCAAUCGCGUCGCUUGCUGUUUUUCCUGCUGUGAGUGAUAUGGAGGCGGUGGAUUCGAAGGAAGAGCUGGUGAAUUUGCAGAAAGAGAAGGUCAGGGAUUAUCUAGACAGCGUUAUUGUUGUUGACUAUGUAGUUCCAUCUUUACAAUCUGCAAGUCUUUAAUCUUCACAUACAUUUCAUGUCUGCUA
rnacentral:misc_RNA from 1 species